rnacentral:rRNA from 1 species
ACGAACGCUGGCGGCGUGCUUAACACAUGCAAGUCGAACGGAAAGGCCCUGCUUUUGUGGGGUGCUCGAGUGGCGAACGGGUGAGUAACACGUGAGUAACCUGCCCUUGACUUUGGGAUAACUUCAGGAAACUGGGGCUAAUACCGGAUAGGAGCUCCUGCUGCAUGGUGGGGGUUGGAAAGUUUCGGCGGUUGGGGAUGGACUCGCGGCUUAUCAGCUUGUUGGUGGGAUAGUGGCUUACCAAGGCUUUGACGGGUAGCCGGCCUGAGAGGGUGACCGGCCACAUUGGGACUGAGAUACGGCCCAGACUCCUACGGGAGGCAGCAGUGGGGAAUAUUGCACAAUGGGCGGAAGCCUGAUGCAGCAACGCCGCGUGCGGGAUGACGGCCUUCGGGUUGUAAACCGCUUUCGCCUGUGACGAAGCGUGAGUGACGGUAAUGGGUAAAGAAGCACCGGCUAACUACGUG